GUAGAGCUUUAGUGUGUUGGUGUUUUCGCUUGAGGUAUGUUGACUCUGCCGAUGAAAAUGUCGCCGUUAUAAAGCACUCUCUUCGCCCAAAUUCGGCUUUUAGAACCAAGCCAAUUACGAGACGGCCGCUUGGGU
rfam:Helicobacteraceae bacterium CG1_02_36_14 cg1_0.2_scaffold_34_c, whole genome shotgun sequence.